CAGCCGCCGCGGGAAUACGUAGGGUGCAAGCGUUAAUCGGAAUUACUGGGCGUAAAGCGUGCGCAGGCGGUUAUAUAAGACAGAUGUGAAAUCCCCGUGCUCAACCUGGGAACUGCAUUUGUGACUGUAUAGCUAGAGUACGGCAGAGGGGGAUGGAAUUCCGCGUGUAGCAGUGAAAUGCGUAGAUAUGCGGAGGAACACCGAUGGCGAAGGCAAUCCCCUGGGCCUGUACUGACGCUCAUGCACGAAAGCGUGGGGAGCAAACAGGAUUAGAUACCCCCGUAGUCCCUGUCUCUUAUAC
rnacentral:rRNA from 1 species